rnacentral:rRNA from 1 species
CCCGCACAAGCGGAGGAACAUGUGGUUUAAUUCGAUGAUACGCGAGGAACCUUACCUGGGCUUAAAUGUAGAGUGCAUUUAGUGGGAAACCAUUAUUUUCUUCGGAACUCUUUGCAAGGUGCUGCAUGGUUGUCGUCAGCUCGUGCCGUGAGGUGUCGGGUUAAGUCCCAUAACGAGCGCAACCCUUAUCGUUAGUUGCCAGCGGGUAAUGCCGGGAACUCUAGCGAAACUGCCGGUGUAAACCGAGAGGAAGGUGGGAUGACGUCAAAUCAGCACGGCCCUUAUGUCCAGGGCUACACACGUGUUACAAUGGCCGGUACAGAGGGCAGCUACCUGGAGACAGGAUGCGAAUCUCGAAAGCCGGUCUCAGUUCGGAUCGGAGUCUGCAACUCGACUCCGUGAAGCUGGAUUCGCUAGUAAUCGCGCAUCAGCCAUGGCGCGGUGAAUACGUUCCCGGGCCUU